AGAUUAAGUUAUUAAGGGCGCACGGUGGAUGCCUUGGCACUAGAAGCCGAUGAAGGACGUUACUAACGACGAUAUGCUUUGAGGAGCUGUAAGUAAGCUUUGAUCCAGAGAUUUCCGAAUGGGGAAACCCAGCAUGAGUUAUGUCAUGUUAUCGAUAUGUGAAUACAUAGCAUAUCAGAAGGCACACCCGGAGAACUGAAACAUCUUAGUACCCGGAGGAAGAGAAAGAAAAUUCGAUUCCCUUAGUAGCGGCGAGCGAAACGGGAAGAGCCCAAACCAACAAGCUUGCUUGUUGGGGUUGUAGGACACUCUAUACGGAGUUACAAAGGACGACAUUAGACGAAUCAUCUGGAAAGAUGAAUCAAAGAAGGUAAUAAUCCUGUAGUCGAAAAUGUUGUCUCUCUUGAGUGGAUCCUGAGUACGACGGAGCACGUGAAAUUCCGUCGGAAUCUGGGAGGACCAUCUCCUAAGGCUAAAUACUCUCUAGUGACCGAUAGUGAACCAGUACCGUGAGGGAAAGGUGAAAAGCACCCCGGAAGGGGAGUGAAAUAGAACCUGAAACCGUGUGCUUACAAGUAGUCAGAGCCCGUUAAUGGGUGAUGGCGUGCCUUUUGUAGAAUGAACCGGCGAGUUACGAUUUGAUGCAAGGUUAAGCAGUAAAUGUGGAGCCGUAGCGAAAGCGAGUCUGAAUAGGGCGUUUAGUAUUUGGUCGUAGACCCGAAACCAGGUGAUCUACCCUUGGUCAGGUUGAAGUUCAGGUAACACUGAAUGGAGGACCGAACCGACUUACGUUGAAAAGUGAGCGGAUGAACUGAGGGUAGCGGAGAAAUUCCAAUCGAACCUGGAGAUAGCUGGUUCUCUCCGAAAUAGCUUUAGGGCUAGCCUCAAGUGAUGAUUAUUGGAGGUAGAGCACUGUUUGGACGAGGGGCCCCUCUCGGGUUACCGAAUUCAGACAAACUCCGAAUGCCAAUUAAUUUAACUUGGGAGUCAGAACAUGGGUGAUAAGGUCCGUGUUCGAAAGGGAAACAGCCCAGACCACCAGCUAAGGUCCCAAAAUAUAUGUUAAGUGGAAAAGGAUGUGGCGUUGCCCAGACAACUAGGAUGUUGGCUUAGAAGCAGCCAUCAUUUAAAGAGUGCGUAAUAGCUCACUAGUCGAGUGACACUGCGCCGAAAAUGUACCGGGGCUAAACAUAUUACCGAAGCUGUGGAUUGUCCUUUGGACAAUGGUAGGAGAGCGUUCUAAGGGCGUUGAAGCAUGAUCGUAAGGACAUGUGGAGCGCUUAGAAGUGAGAAUGCCGGUGUGAGUAGCGAAAGACGGGUGAGAAUCCCGUCCACCGAUUGACUAAGGUUUCCAGAGGAAGGCUCGUCCGCUCUGGGUUAGUCGGGUCCUAAGCUGAGGCCGACAGGCGUAGGCGAUGGAUAACAGGUUGAUAUUCCUGUACCACCUAUAAUCGUUUUAAUCGAUGGGGGGACGCAGUAGGAUAGGCGAAGCGUGCGAUUGGAUUGCACGUCUAAGCAGUAAGGCUGAGUAUUAGGCAAAUCCGGUACUCAUUAAGGCUGAGCUGUGAUGGGGAGAAGACAUUGUGUCUUCGAGUCGUUGAUUUCACACUGCCGAGAAAAGCCUCUAGAUAGAAAAUAGGUGCCCGUACCGCAAACCGACACAGGUAGUCAAGAUGAGAAUUCUAAGGUGAGCGAGCGAACUCUCGUUAAGGAACUCGGCAAAAUGACCCCGUAACUUCGGGAGAAGGGGUGCUCUUUAGGGUUAACGCCCAGAAGAGCCGCAGUGAAUAGGCCCAAGCGACUGUUUAUCAAAAACACAGGUCUCUGCUAAACCGUAAGGUGAUGUAUAGGGGCUGACGCCUGCCCGGUGCUGGAAGGUUAAGAGGAGUGGUUAGCUUCUGCGAAGCUACGAAUCGAAGCCCCAGUAAACGGCGGCCGUAACUAUAACGGUCCUAAGGUAGCGAAAUUCCUUGUCGGGUAAGUUCCGACCCGCACGAAAGGCGUAACGAUUUGGGCACUGUCUCAACGAGAGACUCGGUGAAAUCAUAGUACCUGUGAAGAUGCAGGUUACCCGCGACAGGACGGAAAGACCCCGUGGAGCUUUACUGUAGCCUGAUAUUGAAAUUCGGCACAGCUUGUACAGGAUAGGUAGGAGCCUUUGAAACGUGAGCGCUAGCUUACGUGGAGGCGCUGGUGGGAUACUACCCUAGCUGUGUUGGCUUUCUAACCCGCACCACUUAUCGUGGUGGGAGACAGUGUCAGGCGGGCAGUUUGACUGGGGCGGUCGCCUCCUAAAAGGUAACGGAGGCGCUCAAAGGUUCCCUCAGAAUGGUUGGAAAUCAUUCAUAGAGUGUAAAGGCAUAAGGGAGCUUGACUGCGAGACCUACAAGUCGAGCAGGGUCGAAAGACGGACUUAGUGAUCCGGUGGUUCCGCAUGGAAGGGCCAUCGCUCAACGGAUAAAAGCUACCCCGGGGAUAACAGGCUUAUCUCCCCCAAGAGUUCACAUCGACGGGGAGGUUUGGCACCUCGAUGUCGGCUCAUCGCAUCCUGGGGCUGUAGUCGGUCCCAAGGGUUGGGCUGUUCGCCCAUUAAAGCGGUACGCGAGCUGGGUUCAGAACGUCGUGAGACAGUUCGGUCCCUAUCCGUCGUGGGCGUAGGAAAUUUGAGAGGAGCUGUCCUUAGUACGAGAGGACCGGGAUGGACAUACCUCUGGUGUACCAGUUGUCGUGCCAACGGCAUAGCUGGGUAGCUAUGUGUGGACGGGAUAAGUGCUGAAAGCAUCUAAGCAUGAAGCCCCCCUCAAGAUGAGAUUUCCCAACUUCGGUUAUAAGAUCCCUCAAAGAUGAUGAGGUUAAUAGGUUCGAGGUGGAAGCAUGGUGACAUGUGGAGCUGACGAAUACUAAUCGAUCGAAGACUUAAUCAAAUU
rnacentral:rRNA from 1 species